GCGAGCUUACCAUGCAGUCGAGCGGAACGAUGAUAGCUUGCUAUCAGGCGUCGAGCGGCGGACGGGUGAGUAAUACUUAGGAAUCUACCUAGUAGUGGGGGAUAGCUCGGGGAAACUCGAAUUAAUACCGCAUACGUCCUACGGGAGAAAGCAGGGGAUCAUUAGACCUUGCGCUAUUAGAUGAGCCUAAGUCGGAUUAGCUAGAUGGUGGGGUAAAGGCCUACCAUGGCGACGAUCUGUAGCUGGUCUGAGAGGAUGAUCAGCCACACCGGGACUGAGACACGGCCCGGACUCCUACGGGAGGCAGCAGUGGGGAAUAUUGGACAAUGGGGGGAACCCUGAUCCAGCCAUGCCGCGUGUGUGAAGAAGGCCUUUUGGUUGUAAAGCACUUUAAGCAGUGAAGAAGACUCUUCGGUUAAUACCCGGGGACGAUGACAUUAGCUGCAGAAUAAGCACCGGCUAACUCUGUGCCAGCAGCCGCGGUAAUACAGAGGGUGCAAGCGUUAAUCGGAAUUACUGGGCGUAAAGCGAGCGUAGGUGGCUUGAUAAGUCAGAUGUGAAAUCCCCGGGCUUAACCUGGGAACUGCAUCUGAAACUGUUAGGCUAGAGUAGGUGAGAGGGAAGUAGAAUUUCAGGUGUAGCGGUGAAAUGCGUAGAGAUCUGAAGGAAUACCGAUGGCGAAGGCAGCUUCCUGGCAUCAUACUGACACUGAGGCUCGAAAGCGUGGGUAGCAAACAGGAUUAGAUACCCUGGUAGUCCACGCCGUAAACGAUGUCUACUAGUCGUUGGGUCCCUUGAGGACUUAGUGACGCAGCUAACGCAAUAAGUAGACCGCCUGGGGAGUACGGCCGCAAGGUUAAAACUCAAAUGAAUUGACGGGGGCCCGCACAAGCGGUGGAGCAUGUGGUUUAAUUCGAUGCAACGCGAAGAACCUUACCUGGUCUUGACAUACACAGAAUCUUGUAGAGAUACGAGAGUGCCUUCGGGAAUUGUGAUACAGGUGCUGCAUGGCUGUCGUCAGCUCGUGUCGUGG
rnacentral:rRNA from 1 species